rnacentral:rRNA from 1 species
GACUGAUUAAGUGUUCUUUUUUAAUGGGAUUAGUUGGAUAUUAUAAAAAUUUUAUGAUUUUUUGUUUAAUAAUUAGUUUUAUAUUAUACUUAUUAUAAUAUUUUUAAUAAAUUUUAUAGACAGGGAUUAGAUACCCCAUUAUAUUUUUAAAUAAUUUUUUAAUCUCAGUGAAAACUGAAAGAAAUUGGCAGUUAACUAUUUCCUUCUAGGGGAUUGUGUUUUUUAAACAGAUGGUCCACUAAAUGAUUUUUCUUUUUAUAUUGUUGGUGUAUAUCCGGUUGUGAUAAAAAAUUAAUGUUUUUUAUUAAAAAUUUGUUUUAGCCCAGGUCGAUAUGCUGCUUAUUAAAAGGUAGAUAAUGCAAUACAUUAUAAAAAAUAUAAAUUUAACUUUUUAUCAAUUGAGGACUUAGAAGUAAUAUAAAAUAGUAAUGUUUAUGUGAAGUUAAGGUUUAGUUAAGGUACACAUCGC